UGAUCCUGGCUCAGGAUGAACGCUGGCGGCGUGCUUAAUACAUGCAAGUCGAACGAAGAUAUUUCGCUGAGGCGAGCUUGCUCAAUUCUUGAAAUAUCUUAGUGGCGGACGGGUGAGUAACGCGUGGGUAACCUGCCUUACACAGGGGGAUAACAGUUAGAAAUGACUGCUAAUACCGCAUAAGCGCACAAUACCGCAUGGUAUAGUGUGAAAAGAUUUAUCGGUGUAAGAUGGACCCGCGUCUGAUUAGCUAGUUGGUGAGGUAACGGCCCACCAAGGCGACGAUCAGUAGCCGGCCUGAGAGGGUGAACGGCCACAUUGGGACUGAGACACGGCCCAAACUCCUACGGGAGGCAGCAGUAGGGAAUAUUGGACAAUGGGGGCAACCCUGAUCCAGCGACGCCGCGUGAGUGAAGAAGUAUUUCGGUACGUAAAGCUCUAUCAGCAGGGAAGAAAAUGACGGUACCUGACUAAGAAGCACCGGCUAAAUACGUGCC
rnacentral:rRNA from 1 species